AUGAUCUCCGCCAACCAAAGCGCCUUCAUCGCCGGCCGAUGUAUACACGACAACUUCCUGCUCGUGCAGCAAACAGCGAGGCAGCUCCACAACCUGAAGAACCCGCGAGUCAUGCUCAAGCUUGAUAUCGCACGUGCCUUCGACUCCGUGUCCUGGGCUUUCCUGCUGGAGACUUUACGCCACCUCGGAUUUGAUCGCCGAUGGUGCGAGUGGAUAUGCAUUCUUCUGGGUACGGCCAGCACACGUGUCCUCACCAACGGCGUCCCCGGUCCACCCAUCCAGCACCGUUGCGGACUGCGGCAGGGGGAUCCCGUGUCCCCCAUGCUCUUCCUCACGGUCAUCGACACCCUCAACAACCUCGUAUGCCGUGCGGCCAGCGAGGGGGUGCUGCAACGCCUGACUGCGCGCCACAUGUCGUCAAGCGUCUCCAUCUACGCCGAUGACGUCAUUGUCUUCUGCCGACCGGACGGGCACGAUCUUGCUGCCGUCCGCGAGAUGCUACGGGUAUUUGGGGCGGCUUCGGGAUUGCACACCAACUAUGCCAAAUGUGCGGCCUCCCCCAUCCAGUGCACGGACGCGGACCGGGCCAUGAUCACCACGAACCUCGCCUGCCCGCUGCAAGACUUCCCCACCACCUAUCUCGGGCUGCCGCUAUUGGUCCGUAAAGUCAGCUCCACCGCUCUACAGCCCAUCAUCGACAAGCUGGAGCGCCGACUCUCGCCGUGGUGGGCAUCCCUCAUGUCGAGGGGCGACCGGCUCGCCCUGUGCCGUCAUGUUCUCUCGGCCAUGCCAACACACAUCAUGAUUGCGAUGGCCGUCAACCCGCCCAUCCUCAAGCGCAUCAACCGCCUGAUACGCAACUUCCUCUGGUACGGCCGGAAGGACGCGAGCGAUGGCCACUGCAAGGUCAACUGGUGUCGGGUAUGUAGACCCAUCUCCCUCGGCGGCCUCGGGAUCCCAGACCUCCAGCGCGCCGGCAUCUCGCUGCGCGCCCGGUGGCUGUGGCAGCAAAGAUCCGACGCCUCGCGGCCGUGGCAGCACCUGCACAUCCCCCACUGCCCGGAGGUCCGGGCCAUCUUCAGGGCUUCAACCUCUUGGUGCGUUGGCAGUGGCGAGUCAUGUCUAUUCUGGGAAGACCACUGGUUGGACGGGAAAAGCAUCUCCGAGAUUGCGCCGUUGGUUUACUGUAGGGUGGCAAAACGCCGGCGCAAGUCACGCACGGUUCGAGAGGGCCUGUUCAACCAGGCGUGGAUCGGCGACAUUCAAGGCGCCAUGGGCGCGGCCAUGACCGUCCAGUAUGUCACGCUCUGGCGGCGCCUCAGGCACUUCAACCUGACUGACGAGGAGGACCGACUGUCGUGGCGAUGGACUGAAUCAGGGAUCUACUUUGCCCGCUCCUGCUAUCAGGCUCUUUUCGCCGGCUCCAUCACCGACCCGCAUUGGCGUAUCACGUGGAGACCAUGGGCUCCGCUUCGCAUCAAAUUCUUCGUAUGGCUUGCUCUUCUGGGUAGGUGCUGGACUGCCGAUCGCCUGGCACGGCAUGGCCUUCCCCACGAGCCUUGCUGCCUACUAUGCGAUCAAGAACCGGAAACCAUGCAACAUAUCCUGACGGGCUGCUCCUUCUCCCGCCAAACCUGGCAUGAGGUGCUCUCGUGGUGCCGUUUCACCACCGCGAUCCCUGCACCAGACGACGAGUUCGCCAGCUGGCUAUCCACGGCCAUCUCCAACACCUCGGCUACUCUUCGCCGCGGUCUCGCCUCCAUUGGCGUCCUUACCGCUUGGCACUUCUGGAAACACCGGAACGGGUGCCUAUUCGACGGCGACCAGCCUGCUGUGGGACGCGUAGUGCACAUGAUCCAGGAGGAGGCGCGGCUAUGGGCGCGCGCCGGUGCCAAGGGCAUGGCCCUCAUCCUGCCAGAGACGUAG
rnacentral:rRNA from 1 species